AAAAAAACCCCUCGCCUGUUUUUUUUUUUUUUUCAUUUUCCCUUCACAGAUCGACCCCCCCUCCCCCAAGCCAAAAAAAACCCUAGCCCUCUUCGAUCUGGCAUGGCCCCUGCAGUCCUUUUCGCAUCAGCCUCCCUCCGACGAGGUUAAUCGCGGCCGCACUCUCUUUCCCUCCGACGAGUUUGGUCGGCGGUCCUUCGCAACUCACUUUCCCUCUCACAUGCGACGAGGUCUCGAGGGUACUGGAGCCCUUCGCAGCACUCUUUCCAUCUUUGCACGGAAUCAGGACUUCGGCCGCAUCAACCUCACGCACGGUUGCUGCUAAGAGGAUAACAAUCUGUGGAUUUGUUGAAACCCAAGCAUCCAAGCUUUAAGGUAUUCUUCUCCAAUUCUUCCCCUUUACUUUUGUUCAAAUGGAUAUUAAAUAGUAUUUUAUUUUAAUUUUUUUCUUUUUCUGAUUUUUGUUUAUUUUUUUGUGGGCAUCAAAUUGGUUUUUUGUAAUUUCUCCUCUAAUGUGGGUUUUGGGAUCUGAGUACUAGCCAUGAAAAUUUAGUUUUUUGUUGAAUUAAUUUAACUUUGGUUGA